rnacentral:lncRNA from 1 species
UUUUCUUUUGAAGAAAUCUUGAAAUUUUUUUGCUGAUUUUUGAUUUUUCAUCUUUUUCCACCCUCUCUUCUUUCAUUUUUUUUUUACAUUACAUUUGUAAUGCCCCAGUUUGACUGGUUUGCUGAUUCUCAUGAUACAGCUGAAUGAGCUUCUUCCGUGCUCAAGAAGUCGGGUAAUCUCAUCAGGAAUCCCCUUCAACAUCAUCUUCCUCUGCCUCGAAUACAAGGAAUUC